AUUGAACGCUGGCGGCAUGCUUUACACAUGCAAGUCGAACGGCAGCGCGGGCUUCGGCCUGGCGGCGAGUUGCGAACGGGUGAGUAAUGCAUCGGAACGUGCCCAGUAGUGGGGGAUAGCCCGGCGAAAGCCGGAUUAAUACCGCAUACGACCUGAUGUUGAAAGCGGGGGACCGAAAGGCCUCGCGCUAUUGGAGCGGCCGAUGUCGGAUUAGCUAGUUGGUGGGGUAAAGGCUUACCAAGGCGACGAUCCGUAGCUGGUCUGAGAGGACGACCAGCCACACUGGGACUGAGACACGGCCCAGACUCCUACGGGAGGCAGCAGUGGGGAAUUUUGGACAAUGGGGGAAACCCUGAUCCAGCCAUGCCGCGUGCGGGAAGAAGGCCUUCGGGUUGUAAACCGCUUUUGUUCGGGAAGAAAUCCUCUGGGCUAAUACCCCGGGGGGAUGACGGUACCGGAAGAAUAAGCACCGGCUAACUACGUG
rnacentral:rRNA from 1 species